CACCUCGGGACUUUCAAUGAAAGACCUCCAAAUAGUGGCAAACUGUGAUAAGAAUGCGUGGGAAGUUCGUUGAAGUCAGCUGUCACUGAAUAUGACGUUGAAGCAACAGGAGAUUAUCA
ensembl:ncRNA H01A20.3 ncRNA